rnacentral:tRNA from 1 species
GGGGAAGUAGCUCAGUUGGUAGAGCGCAUGCUUUGCAAGUAUGUGGUCGCAGGUUCGAAGCCUGUCUUCUCCACCA